rnacentral:rRNA from 1 species
AUGGCCAGUUCGUCGGCGAACGUCACGGUGGCGUCCAUCCUCCUGUUGGCGCUCGUGGCCGUCAUCGUGCUGGUCCAGGCCAUCCGCACCUUGUGCUCGCACUCGCAGGAUCAGGGGGAACAGAGGCCGGAAGGGACUCCGGUUGCCGGUGCCGCCCCUCAAGCCGUGCCGAAGGCGCAGGCGGCGGGGCCGGGGCUGGUGGCGUGCGUGUACCGGAGGAGCGACGAGUGGCGGGAGGCGACGUGCCCGGUGUGCCUGUCGGACUUCACGGACGGCGAGGCCGUCAGCGUGCUGCCCGCGUGCAUGCACUACUUCCACGCCGCGUGCGUCGGCGAGUGGCUGCGCGCGCACGCCACCUGCCCGCUCUGCCGCGCCGCGCCGGCAGCCGGUGUCGUCUGA